rnacentral:rRNA from 1 species
GGUCGNCGACAUUCCGUUGGCCGCUACUGCCCCGGGCAGGGAACUUAAUGCGUUAGCUGCGGCACCGACGACGUGGAAUGUCGCCAACACCUAGUUCCCAACGUUUACGGCGUGGACUACCAGGGUAUCUAAUCCUGUUCGCUCCCCACGCUUUCGCUCCUCAGCGUCAGUAAUGGCCCAGAGAUCCGCCUUCGCCACCGGUGUUCCUCCUGAUAUCUGCGCAUUUCACCGCUACACCAGGAAUUCCGAUCUCCCCUACCACACUCUAGCCUGCCCGUAUCGAAUGCAGACCCGGGGUUAAGCCCCGGGCUUUCACAUCCGACGCGACAGGCCGCCUACAAGCUCUUUACGCCCAAUAAUUCCGGACAACGCUCGCACCCUACGUAUUACCGCGGCUGCUGGCACGUAGUUAGCCGGUGCUUCUUCUGCAGGUACCGUCACUUGCGCUUCUUCCCUGCUAGAAAGAGGUUUACAACCCGAAGGCCGUCAUCCCUCACGCGGCGUCGCUGCAUCAGGCUUUCGCCCAUUGUGCAAUAUUCCCCACUGCUGCCUCCCGUAGGAGUCUGGGCCGUGUCUCAGUCCCCAGUGUGGCCGGUCGCCCUCUCAGGCCGGCUACCCGUCGUCGCCUUGGUAGGCCAUUACCCCACCAACAAGCUGAUAGGCCGCGGGCUCAUCCUGCACCGCCGGAGCUUUACACCCACCCCCAUGCGGAGGAAGGUCNUUAUCCGGGAUAAACCCCUUUUUCAGGGCUUGUCCCAAANUCCAGGGCAAAUUGCCCCCUUGUUCUUCCCCGGUUCGCCCUGAUCCCCCCAAAGGCUUCCCGUCAAUUGCAUUUUUUUAACCCCCCACCCU